rnacentral:rRNA from 1 species
UACGUAGGGGGGCAAGCGUUGUCCGGAAUUAUUGGGCGUAAAGCGCGUGUAGGCGGUCCGAUAAGUCGGUUGUGAAAGUCCAGGGCUCAACCCUGGAAUGCCGGUGGAUACUGUCGGGCUAGAGUCCGGAAGGGGCGAGUGGAAUUCCUGGUGUAGCGGUGAAAUGCGCAGAUAUCAGGAGGAACACCAAUGGCGAAGGCGGCGACCUGGGCCAAUAUUGACGCUGAGGCACGAAGGUCAGGGGGAGCAAACGGG